rnacentral:rRNA from 1 species
AUUGAACGCUGGCGGCAUGCCUAACACAUGCAAGUCGAGCGCCGUAGCAAUACGGAGCGGCGCACGGGUGAGUAACGCGUGGGAACCUGCCCAGAGGUUCGGGACAACCGCGGGAAACUGCGGCUGAUACCGGAUGAUACCUGAGGGUCAAAGAUUUAUCGCUUUUGGAGGGGCCCGCGUCAGAUUAGGUAGUUGGUGGGGUAACGGCUCACCAAGCCUGUGAUCUGUAGCUGGUCUGAGAGGAUGACCAGCCACACUGGGACUGAGACACGGCCCAGACUCCUACGGGAGGCAGCAGUGGGGAGUAUUGGACAAUGGGGGCAACCCUGAUCCAGCAAUGCCGCGUGGGUGAUGAAGGCCUUCGGGUUGUAAAGCCCUUUCGGCGGGGACGAUGAUGACGGUACCCGCAGAAGAAGCCCCGGCUAACUUCGUGCCAGCCGCCGCUGUAAUAC